UCUCACAAUGGAGGUUGAGCGCAAUUCUGACCGUUGUCACAACCUCCUUGAUUGAGAUGA
rnacentral:pre_miRNA from 1 species